CCUACGGGUGGCAGCAGUAGGGAAUAUUGCUCAAUGGGGGAAACCCUGAAGCAGCAACGCCGCGUGGAGGAUGAAGGUUUUAGGAUUGUAAACUCCUUUUUUUAGAGAAGAUUAUGAAGGCAUCUUACGAAUAAUCACCGGCUAACUCCGGGCCAGCAGCCGCGGUAAUCUGGAGGGUGCAAGCGUUACUCGGAAUCACUGGGCGUAAUGGGUGCGUAGGCGGGGUAAUAAGUCAGAUGUGAAAGCCUGUAGCUUAACUACAGAACUGCAUUUGAAACUGUUACUCUGGAGUGUGGGAGAGGUAGGUGGAAUUCUUGGUGUAGGGGUAAAAUCCGUAGAUAUCAAGAGGAAUACUCAUUGCGAAGGCGACCUGCUGGAACAUUACUGACGCUGAUGCACGAAAGCGUGGGUAGCAAACAGGAUUAGAUACCCCGGUAGUC
rnacentral:rRNA from 1 species